GCACAAGCAGUGGAGUAUGUGGUUUAAUUCGACGCAACGCGAAGACCUUACCAGGGCUUGACAUCCCCUGACCGCGUAUGAAAGUACGUUUUCACCUUCGGGAGACAGGGAGACAGGUGGUGCAUGGUUGUCGUCAGCCCGUGUCGUGAGAUGUUGGGUUAAGUCCCGCAACGAGCGCAACCCCUAUAUUCAGUUGCCAGCAUGUAAAGAUGGGAACUCUGGAUAGACUGCCGGUGAUAAACCGGAGGAAGGUGGGAUGACGUCAAAUCAUCAUGCCCCUUAUGUCUUGGGCUACACACGUGCUACAAUGGGCAGUACAGACGGAAGCGAAGCUGUGAAGUGGAGCAAAUCCGAGAAAGCUGUUCGUAGUUCGGAUUGUAGGCUGCAACUCGCCUACAUGAAGUCGGAAUCGCUAGUAAUCGCAGGUCAGCACACUGCGGUGAAUACGUUCCCGGGCCUU
rnacentral:rRNA from 1 species